UCCCAACCACCAUGAAGACAGGACAUGCACCAGGAGAAAGAAGGAAGAUAGACGUCGAUGAAGAGACACAUUGGCUCUUCAGAAAAGCUGCCUGGCAUCUCUCCAGAGCCCAGCCUUCUUGCCCCAAAGAAUUCUGCCUUCUCUAUUUAUUAUUUUCUGUGGCUGCCUAGUGGUUCCAGUGCUGUGUGUCUUUGUUAACUAGUCCAACAGUGCCUAGGACCUCGGACCAUUACAGGUGACUUAGCAGGAAGUGACUGGUGCCCAGUGGAGGUGGAUAGGCUGGUCCUCGACGUUAAAUGGUGAAGUCUACUCCCCAGCACCCAUCCAACCCUCUGGCCGCCUGUGGGCCAACUGCUCCAGUUAGUUUUGUGCACAUGUAAACUUCAUAGUCCAGCCAACACAUCCCUUCUCAGCAGCGGCAAUUCCCCUCCCAAGAAGGAAGUUUGUUCAGGGGUUGGAAGGACAGAGCUCUCCAGGUGGGUGGAUAUAGGCAUGGGUUCUUCCCAUCCACUCCUAUUGCCCCCACCUGGGGAGCUGUGACCACCUCCCCAGGACAUCGGCCAACCUUCAUGCCAAGGCUGCUCUCACCAGCUGCUGCAGGAGACAAACAAGGUUCAUAUGUACAAAACUCUACGGUGUCCUUUUUACCUGCACCCUUUUAUAAGAAUAUAUUGUAAUACUAAAAAAAAUAUUAAAUUCCUCCCCACCCCUA
rnacentral:lncRNA from 1 species